UACAGAGGUCUUAAGCGUUGUUCGGAUUCAUUGGGCGUAAAGGGUGCGUAGGUGGCGAAGUAAGUCGGGUGUGAAAUCUCGGGGCUUAACCCCGAAACUGCAUUCGAUACUGCUUUGCUCGAGGACUGGAGAGGAGAUUGGAAUUCAUGGUGUAGCAGUGAAAUGCGUAGAUAUCAUGAGGAAGACCAGUGGCGAAGGCGGAUCUCUGGACAGUUCCUGACACUGAGGCACGAAGGCCAGGGAGGCAAACGGG
rnacentral:rRNA from 1 species